AUUGAACGCUGGCGGCAGGCCUAACACAUGCAAGUCGAGCGAGUGGCGGACGGGUGAGUAAUGUCUGGGGAACUGCCUGAUAGAGGGGGAUAACUACUGGAAACGGUAGCUAAUACCGCAUACUAUCGGAUGUACCCAUAUGGGAUUAGCUAGUAGGUGGGGUAACGGCUCACCUAGGCGACGAUCCCUAGCUGGUCUGAGAGGAUGACCAGCCACACUGGAACUGAGACACGGGCCAGACUCCUACGGGAGGCAGCAGUGGGGAAUAUUGCACAAUGUGCGAAAGCCUGAUGAAGCCAUGCCGCGUGUAUGAAGAAGGCCUUAGGGUUGUAAAGUACUUUCAGCGGGGAGGCGUUACCCGCAGAAGAAGCACCGGCUAACUCCGUGCCAGCAGCCGCGGUAAUAC
rnacentral:rRNA from 1 species